rnacentral:rRNA from 1 species
CUACGGGUGGCUGCAGUGAGGAAUAUUGCACAAUGGGGGGAACCCUGAUGCAGCAACGCCGCGUGGAGGAUGACGCAUUUCGGUGUGUAAACUCCUUUUAUAUGUCAAGAAAAUGACGGUAGCAUAUGAAUAAGCACCGGCUAACUCCGUGCCAGCAGCCGCGGUAAUACGGAGGGUGCAAGCGUUACUCGGAAUCACUGGCCAUAAAGGACGCGUAGGCGGGUUGGAAAGUCAGGUGUGAAAUCCUACAGCUUAACUGUAGAACUGCACUUGAAACUUCUAAUCUAGAGUAUGGGAGGGGGAGAUGGAAUUAGUGGUGUAGGGGUAAAAUCCGUAGAUAUCACUAGGAAUACCUAAAGCGAAGGCGAUCUCCUGGAACAUUACUGACGCUAAGGCGUGAAAGCGUGGGGAGCAAACAGGAUUAGAUACCCCAGUAGUC